rnacentral:misc_RNA from 1 species
AAAAAAAUCUGAAAUCUACCUUUUCUCAAUCAUUUAAAAAAGAAUAGAAGAGACAAAUCAGAAGCCAUCCCUUCAUGUGAUAACAGUAGCAACACAUUGAGUAAUAAUUCAUAUUUGAGAAAAAUAAAUUCCUUCAUAUAAAAAAAAUUAAAUAAAUUUCUCAACAAAUACACUUGAUUUUUUUUUUUAAUUUUUUGUUAAACAGAAAAAAGAAUGAACUCUUUUGGGUCCAUUCUCAUAGCUGCCUUUGGAGAGCAAAAACCUGCCCUGUUAUCACUGCUAAUUACGGUGCCAUGAUGGUGGUGGUCGUGGCGGCGGUGGUUGUGGUGGUCCUCGGAAUUAGCCGGAGGGUGGUAGUACAGGCGAGCAGUCUGCGGGCAAUGAGAAUGGAAUCUUGCAGCUAUUCUCACCCCAACAUCCAACAUCUCCAUAUAUCUCCCCAUAUCUCUGUUUUUCUAUAUCUCUCUCCCUACUCUUCUAAUCUCUACAAGACAGACUCCUCCCUUUCCUUAAUCCCUCUCUUCUGUUUCUUGGAGAGACUCUUUGUUUUCCAAGAAACAGAAAGAAAAGGAGAAAGGAAAAGGACCAGGACCAGGGAGUGAGAGAGAGAGGGAGAAAAGAAAGAUUUGCUAGAAGACGUUAGUGCCCAUGAAAAUGUGGGGGAAUCGUUCUUUAUAUGUGUGCUUGAGGAGAACAAAAGCCAUAUGUAUAAAUGGGUGCUUCGCUG